CUCAAACUCAACAACCCCAAGAUCAGCAGUCACGUGCUCUUCCUACUGAGCCAGCUGGGCACCCCUGAUUGCUGCCUCUGUGCUGUAUUUUUCCUGUGUGCUAAGUUAAGGUAGAUAAGCGUCCUUAGAUGUAUAGAGCUAUACUUGUUUCUCAUUGAUAAACAUGCACGUGUCACAUACGUACAAACACAUUCUCACAUACUCACGUAAUCUCCACUGUCCACCUUGUGUAGUAGAUACUCUUACUGUUGUGUAGAACAAGCUGGAAAUGAGAUUCAGAGAGUUUAAGGCACAUGUUGAAGAUUCUACAGCCAAAAAAUGCUGAGCCAGAAAGGUGCCUCCAGAAGAGGCCCUCCAGGACACACUGUGUGUGCUGCCCUGCAGAGCAGAACGGUCAAGGAUAGUGUAGGCUGGAAUCCUUGUCCCUCAUUCUCUAAUUUAGUGUAUUUCAUGCAUGUCAAUUAAAAUUGGAGACAGAUUUCUUGGUUUAAUUAAAAAAAAAAAAAAAGUCUCAGGGGUCAUCUUACUUUACAUUUUCAGGCAAUUUCCACCCCUAAAGAUUUACAGAAAGGUAGUCUUCUGUUUGUUAAAGUUUGCAAACUGAGGUCUGUAGUCUUCCCUGGUUACUGUACUUUAGCGGUGGUCCGUUUCUUCUUGCUGCUGCUGUCAGCGUCGGCUGCUUAUCCUGCCCUGACAAUAAAUGGCUAAGAUCAGAGUCCUGGUGCCCAAAAGAGGCUCAGGUGUUCUCACUCAGGUGCUGCGUCGGAGACCUGCUCAGAUCUGGUGGGAGGAGAUCCUCCGCCAGGAAGCCUGUGUUCUCUUGGCUCUGACUCUGCCCUGGGUACGUGUGGCUUUGGAGAGCUGUGUGCUCUCCAACCUCGGAAGCCAUUUGUAGUCAGAAGGAGCAAGGCUUCUCUCUCCUGGGGCCAGGCCUGGCCUGCUUAGGGUUCUCAGGGUCACUCCUACCCUAUAGGCAGAACAGCCCAGGCAUGAUGUAGGUGCCUCUGUGUGCCUUGCGCUGGUCCGCGGGGCCUGGCAGGAGUAGAGAGCCUCAGUCCCGCUGCUCCUCCUCUUUAUACCUCAGGGAUUCGUGGCUGAAAAAGCGAGGAAAAGCAGUUGGGUGCUUGACCAAUAACCCUGACCUUUCUCAGGCAGAAAAUUGGGAAGUGAAAAUACCGAAAGGCCUUUUAAUCAAUUUUCAACUAAAAUAAUCUUUUGAAUAAUCCUGCCUUAUUAGGUAGUGCUUAAUUAUUUACAAAAUCCUGUCACAUGCAUGAUCUUCUCUGCUGCAUAUGACCCCUCUGUGGACCACUUCUGAUCUGAUUAUGAAGUGGUUGGCUGUUACCUACAGUCGUUAGCUGUUUUUUAAUUGGGCAGCAUCUGAAGCAAUGUCAAAG